rnacentral:rRNA from 1 species
AGUGAACGCUGGCGGUAGGCCUAACACAUGCAAGUCGAACGGCAGCACAGGAGAGCUUGCUCUCUGGGUGGCGAGUGGCGGACGGGUGAGGAAUACAUCGGAAUCUACUUUUUCGUGGGGGAUAACGUAGGGAAACUUACGCUAAUACCGCAUACGACCUACGGGUGAAAGCAGGGGACCUUCGGGCCUUGCGCGAUUGAAUGAGCCGAUGUCGGAUUAGCUAGUUGGCGGGGUAAAGGCCCACCAAGGCGACGAUCCGUAGCUGGUCUGAGAGGAUGACCAGCCACACUGGAACUGAAACACGGUGCAGACGCCUACGGGAGGCAGCAGUGGGGAAUAUUGGACAAUGGGCGCAAGCCUGAUCCAGCCAUACCGCGUGGGCGAAGAAGGCCUUCGGGUUGCAAAGCCCUUUUGUUGGGAAAGAAAUCCAGCUGGCUAAUACCCGGUUGGGAUGACGGUACCCAAAGAAUAAGCACCGGCUAACUUCGUGCCAGCCGCCGCCGUAA